rnacentral:rRNA from 1 species
UGGGGAAUAUUGCACAAUGGACGGAAGUUUGAUGCAGCGACGCCGCGUGGAGGGUGUAGGCCUUCGGGUUGUGAACUCCUUUUUCUCGCGAAAAAGGCACAGUUUUGGCUGUGUUGAUGGUAGUGGGGGAAGAAGCGCCGGCUAACUACGUGCCAGCAGCCGCGGUAAUACGUAGGGCGCGAGCGUUGUCCGGAUUUAUUGGGCGUAAAGAGCUCGUAGGUGGUUCGUCGCGUCUGUCGUGAAAGCCAGCAGCUUAACUGUUGGUCUGCUGUGAGUACGGGCGGGCUUGAGUGCGGUAGGGGUGACUGGAAUUCCUGGUGUAGCGGUGGAAUGCGCAGAUAUCAGGAGGAACGCCGAUGGCGAAGGCAGGUCACUGGGCCGUUACUGACACUGAGGAGCGAAAGCGUGGGGAGCGAACAGG